AUUGAACGCUGGCGGCAGGCCUAAUACAUGCAAGUCGAGCGAGCGGCGGACGGGUGAGUAAUGUAUGGGGACUGCCCGAUAGAGGGGGAUCACUACUGGAAACGGUAGCUAAUACCGCAUACUAUCGGAUAACCCAUAUGGGAUUAGCUAGUAGGUGAGGUAAUGGCUCACCUAGGCGACGAUCCCGAGCUGGUCUGAGAGGAUGAUCAGCCACACGGGGACUGAGACACGGCCCAGACUCCUACGGAGGCAGCAGUAGGGAAUAUUGCACAAUGGGCGAAAGCCUGAGGCAGCCAUGCCGCGUGUAUGAAGAAGGCCCUAGGGUUGUAAAGUACUGUCAGUAGGGAGGCGUUACCGACAGAGAAAGCAACGGCUAACUCCGUGCCAGCAGCCGCGGUAAUUC
rnacentral:rRNA from 1 species